rnacentral:rRNA from 1 species
UACAGAGGGGGCAAGCGUUGUUCGGAAUUACUGGGCGUAAAGGGCGCGUAGGCGGCCUUCUAAGUCGAACGUGAAAUCCCCGGGCUCCAACCCGGGAACUGCGUCCGAUACUGGAAAGGCUUGAAUCCGGGAGAGGGAUGCGGAAUUCCAGGUGUAGCGGUGAAAUGCGUAGAUAUCUGGAAGGAACACCGGUGGCGAAGGCGGCGAGAUCCU